CAAUAGCGUAUAUUAAAGUUGUUGCAGUUAAAAAGCUCGUAGUUGGAUUUCUGGUGGGAGCGAUCGGUCUGGCGCUUAGCGCGAGUACUUGCAUCGUCUCCGGCCAUCCUUGGGGAGAGUCUGUCUGGCAUUAGGUUGUCGGGCAGAGGAUCCUCAUCGUUUACUGUGAAAAAAUUAGAGUGUUCAAAGCAGGCUUAUGCCGUUGAAUAUAUUAGCAUGGAAUAAUAAGAUAGGACUUUGGUACUAUUUUGUUGGUUUGCGCACCAAAGUAAUGAUUAAUAGGGACAGUUGGGGGUAUUCGUAUUCCGUUGUCAGAGGUGAAAUUCUUGGAUUUACGGAAGACGAACUACUGUGAAAGCAUUUACCAAGGAUGUUUUCAUUAA
rnacentral:rRNA from 1 species